AUUGAACGCUGGCGGCGUGCUUAACACAUGCAAGUCGAACGGAGUGGCGAACGGGUGAGUAACACGUGGGUGACCUGCCCUGCACUGCGGGAUAAGCCUGGGAAACUGGGGCGAAUACCGGAUAGUGUGGGAUGGGCCCGCGGCCUAUCGGCUUGUUGGUGGGGUAAUGGCCUAGCAAGGCGGCGACGGGUAGCCGGCCUGAGAGGGUGGGAGGCCGCUAUGGGACUGCGGCACCGCCCAGAGUCCUACGGGGGGCAGCAGUCGGGAAUAUUGCACACUCAGCGGAAGCCUGAUGCAGCGACGCCGCGUGGUGGAUGUCCGCCUUCGGGUUGUGAACUCCUUUCACCUUCGACGCGGUAGUUGCAGAAGAAGCACCGGCUAACUACGUGCCAGCAGCCGCGGUAAUAC
rnacentral:rRNA from 1 species